UAAGGAAUAUUGGUCAAUGGACGCAAGUCUGAACCAGCCAUGCCGCGUGAAGGAUGAAGGUCCUCUGGAUUGUAAACUUCUUUUAUCUGGGACGAAAACGGGAUUUUUAUCUCAAUUGACGGUACCAGAGGAAUAAGCACCGGCUAACCCCGUGCCAGCAGCCGCGGUAAUACGGGGGGUGCGAGCGUUAUCCGGAUUUACUGGGUUUAAAGGGUGCGUAGGUGGGCUUAUAAGUCAGUGGUGAAAUCUCCGAGCUUAACUUGGAAACUGCCGUUGAUACUAUAGGUCUUGAAUUAUCUGGAGGUAAGCGGAAUAUGUCAUGUAGCGGUGAAAUGCUUAGAUAUGACAUAGAACACCAAUUGCGAAGGCAGCUUACUACAUAUAAAUUGACGCUGAGGCACGAAAGCGUGGGGAUCAAACA
rnacentral:rRNA from 1 species